GCACUUUAUCUUGACCUUGUCAAUAAUUGUCUCAAUGAGUGUUUUCCAUCAAUAAAUACCUUUUUUCAAUGCACCCUGAAUUCCCUCCCCUUUUUCUUUCAGUGCUGGAACACCUGUUAAAUCUGAUAAUUUAAACUGUAAUUGCCUUGUAUUCAUCACAUCUCCACAGUUCCUCCCAAGACUUCAUCCUCAGCUUCCAGGAAAACAACACUCAACAAAAAGAAACCUCAUGCUAUCUGGCCAGACUUUAGUGGAUUCUAUUUUCUUGGUUCUCCCUCUCCCUGAGGACCUCUUAUUUUAUUGUCCCUUCUUCUAGAUCAAUUCUCCUUUGGUUUGGAUGUCUUGAGGUUUGUUGAGAAGGAGCUUGGAGAGUAGAUUAGCAAAGUUCCAAGAGGGAAAUUACAGUGUGUUUGAGCGUGAGGGGAAAAUUAGUCUUAUUUUUCCCUACAUGGGAUACAACACUGUGAAAUUCAAUCUUCAAUUGAAAGCCCUGCAAUUCUCCUAAAACAUAGUUCUUUGUUUUUCUUUAACAAAGUUUAAGCUAGUGUUAAUAAAUUAAAAAGAGAAAUUGCUUGUCUGUCUACUUCAGCUUUGUUUUGUGCUCAUUUCAUAUUGUUGUCUGUGUUGUAAUUCAUACUUUUGAUACCAUUUCUGAUGUGUAAAAUUGGUUGUCUUGUAAAUAUCUUAUAAAGAGUUCAAUUGUAAAUAAACUAUUGUGGCUGUUAA